UCGGUGCCGUUUUCCAUCAGGUACUAUAAUGUUGUGUUGUUUAAACCAUGUCCAAGUCCAAGGUUGCAAAUUAAACCUACUUUAUUGUGUGAUCCAAAGCUUGUUCAGCUGAAUUCACGGCUCACAGCUGCUUCAAUAUUGGAUUCUAUAAUCGUACGAAAUUGGUAUUCAAUUUCACCCCCCGAGAAAUUGACCCACCUCACAUGCUUCUUGUCCUCUACUAUUUGGCCCAUAACUUGGAAAUUUCAUUACAUCAACCAUGCGGAAAAUUAAAGAAGAGAGAACGAGAACCCAUAAUUUUCUUGCAGCCACAAAUCUUUCAUUUUCUCCAGGCAUAAACUAGUAGGGAGAAGCCAACAGGGGCACUCAGCUCGUUCUCCUCGGUGCUAGCCCAUUCCAUUAUGGAUGAAGAGCCGCCACCUGAAGAUGCCGAUGACAUUGAAAUCGACGACGAAGAUGAGCUCCUUGUCGUCCUCAUCAAGCUCCUUCUCAUCUUCCUCCAUUCUAUUCCACUCAUUCCAAAACUAUUACAGGAAUUUUGUUGCCAUGGAACUACACCGUUUUUCCCAUCUUGGCCACCGCAUACUUCAGAACUUUCAGUUUCUCUUUCUUGUUCUUCUUCUUCGUCUUUAAUGUCUGGAGUCUCGAAUCGGAACAUGAACACUGCAUGGCCACCGUUUACAUCCUCAAAUAGCCAAUUGUAGACGUCCCAUGAGACCUGUAUAGGUACCCCAUCUACUUCAAUCUUCUCGUUUCCUCUAAAUUUCCACUUCAAACGCUUUAUCUGCAAAACUCUCUUGUUGUCAACGCUAAAACACAAUCUUGCGUCACUAUUCACCGUGCAGUCUAUUGAAAUAUCUCUGUUUUUGCCUCCAAAUCUGGCUUUCGUGGAGUAUACCCUGUUGCCAUACACAUGCUCUCUCCUAAGAACAAGAGCUUGGGUUCUCUCUGGCCGUUUAGCUCUAGUCUUUGCACAAGCUUGUUUGGUCAAAUCGCCAACAAGAAGGACAAUUUCUCGGUCAACAACUACAGCGAUGUAGAACCCCGAUUGGGGUUCGGGGCCGGAUCCGAACUUGGCCCUAGACAGAUCCCAAAAGAUUUGGAUUCUUGGAGCUCUGGAGGUGUUGGCUUCUUGGUUGACAUUAUGUAAUUUCUUGGAUCCAUGUCUUUUCCAAAAAAUGAAGGGCUUGAUAUGGAGGUGGAAAGACAGGGUAGAAAGAGAAGGUGGUUUGGAGAGAUAUAACGGGGAGCAGUUGGUGCUAUCUGCAGGGUGGAGAUCCAGGUGGAGAGAGUGGCCAAGGAAGGUACGAGACCAAGUAAGAGAGAAGAGGCCAAGCUCCGUUUGGUAGAGGCAAGUAACGAGGUUAGGAUUGCCAGAUGUUGUAGGUGGCGGCGGCGGCAGCGGCGGUGGUGAUGGUGGAGGGAGGCGUUUGUCGGUAGAAGGGGUGGUGGGAGAGGGGCGGAAGCAAGAGGGAAAGGGGGAUGAGUGGUGGGACAUUUGUAUGACAGAGAUAGAUGGAUCGAUGGGUAUGAAAGUGUGAAGUUUUGAAGGGUUUUGAGAGGAUAGAUAGAUGAUAUAUAUAGAGAUGUAGAAAGGAUAUAUGGUAUAGAUGGGGUUUUAUGAACGAACGGAGAGAAGAGA
rnacentral:misc_RNA from 1 species